CUAUCGUAUGCGCGCGUCUGGUGCCCGCUGCCGCGUUCGCGGCGGCGGUUGAACGGGAAACAGGAAGCGGCGUGCGCAAGCGGCACCUCGCCUGGCCUGUGCUGUCCUCGCAACGGUACGCCGCCGGCGGUCCGCUCCCAGCGGGCCGCGCGGAUCGACGAACGCCACUGCCGCACGCGGCGGGAAGGCCUCGAUCCGUUCGUUUCGAUCGGCGGUCAGCCCGGAUACCGGCCGACGCAAUGGCGGGUUC
rfam:Burkholderia glumae BGR1 chromosome 1, complete sequence.